rnacentral:tRNA from 1 species
GCGGGUAUGGUGGAAUUGGCAGACACGCAAGAUUUAGGAUCUUGUGCCCUCGGCGUGCAGGUUCGACCCCUGUUACCCGCACCA